AUAACGAUGAAGCUUCUAGCUUGCUAGAAGUGGAUUAGUGGCGCACGGGUGAGUAACGCAUAGGUAACAUGCCCUUUAGUCUGGGAUAGCCACUGGAAACGGUGAUUAAUACUGGAUACUCCCUACGGGGGAAAGUUUUUCGCUAAAGGAUUGGCCUAUGUCCUAUCAGCUUGUUGGUGAGGUAAUGGCUCACCAAGGCUAUGACGGGUAUCCGGCCUGAGAGGGUGAUCGGACACACUGGAACUGAGACACGGUCCAGACUCCUACGGGAGGCAGCAGUAGGGAAUAUUGCUCAAUGGGGGAAACCCUGAAGCAGCAACGCCGCGUGGAGGAUGAAGGUUUUAGGAUUGUAAACUCCUUUUGUUAGAGAAGAUUAUGACGGUAUCUCACGAAUAAGCAC
rnacentral:rRNA from 1 species